CUGAACAGAAGAUGGAUGGGAGAAAGCCCGUCCAGGUAUGGAGUAGUAGGUGUGAGAAAGGGGAGACUCAGCAACAAUCUCUUUUUCAAAGACAACUCCUGAGGAUUAAACUGAUCUCCAGCCCCAGUUUCAAUUAGGAGCAUGCCACUCUCACUCUGGUAACCUCUAUUCCCGAAGAACACUCACUUCCAAGAUCUCUCGAAGCUUCCUGUGUGCAAAACCUGUCACUGACAGCAUUUUAAUACGAUCUCACCAAAUUCAUGCCUAAAAAAAUGCCUACAAUUUUCAGUUUGCCUAUGUGUAAAUUCAUUUUGCUACUCAACCAACCCAGCAAGCACCCCUCCCCCAGUAUCUUCAAGUAUUCAGAAAGACUGAGAAGCCAUCAAAAUUGAACAGAUACCCUAAGAAAUAGCUAGAGCUACAGUAAGCACAGUAUGAAUGCAUCUCCCAUGAACAUUAAAGAGCAAGAGUAAUUGUUAAUAAACAACUGUAUAUUAACAGAUAUGAAUUAAAAUAAAUUGUUUCUUUGUUUGUUAA